GGAAAUAGCUCAGUGGUAGAGUGUGUGUUUAGCAUACAGGAGGUCCUGGGUUCAGUCCCCAGUACUUUCA
rnacentral:tRNA from 1 species